CCUACGGGUGGCUGCAGUGGGGAAUAUUGCACAAUGGGGGGAACCCUGAUGCAGCGACGCCGCGUGAGCGAUGAAGUAUUUCGGUAUGUAAAGCUCUAUCAGCAGGGAAGAAAAUUACGGUACCUGACUAAGAAGCCCCGGCUAACUCCGUGCCAGCAGCCGCGGUAAUACGGAGGGCGCAAGCGUUAUCCGGAUUUACUGGGGGUAAAGGGAGCAUAGACGGCUGUGCAAGUCUGGAGUGAAAGGCAUGGGCUCAACCUGGGGACUGCUUUGGAAACUGUGCGGCUUGAGUGACGGAGAGGCAAGUGGAAUUCCUAGUGUAGCGGUGAAAUGCGUAGAUAUUAGGAGGAACACUAGUGGCGAAGGCGGCUUGCUGGACGAUGACUGACGUUGAGGCUCGAAAGCGAGGGGAGCAAACGGGAUUAGAUACCCUAGUAGUC
rnacentral:rRNA from 1 species